GGGGAUGUGGCUUAGUGGUAGAGUGCUUGCCUAGCAUGCAUGAAGCCCUGGGUUCGAUUCCUCAGUACCA
rnacentral:tRNA from 1 species